rnacentral:lncRNA from 1 species
CUUUCCUAGUGCACGAUCGUUCUCGACCCAGUACACACCGAGCAAUGGAAGUAGAGAUCUCUCCAUCCGUGCAUCUUCUAGACCUACAUGCAAGAGCAACAUGUUUGAUACGCUGGAAAAUGCGCAUCCUAAAUUGUUGUAUAAUUAACUAUCAAUUCCGUUGAAUAUAUUCGUCAUCAUUCACCCUCAUAUAUUCAUCAUUUUUUUUAGUUUUCUCUAUUACCC